GUGCUCACAUAUAUGGGAGCCCAUAUACUAAAAUUAGAACCAUACAGAGAAGAUUGACAUGGCCCCUGCACAAGGAUGUCACUCAAACUCUUUAAGCAUUCUCUCUAUACAUUUUU
rfam:Myotis davidii contig8373, whole genome shotgun sequence.